rnacentral:rRNA from 1 species
UGCAAGUCGAGCGAGGACUAUCCCUGUAGCAAUACAGGGGUAGAGCCGAGCGGCGAAAGGGGCAGUAAGGCAUGGGUAACCUACCCCGGGGAUCGGGAUAGCCAUUCUAACGAGUGGGUAAUACCGGGCGAUUUGACGGAGUCGCAUGGCUCUGUCAGGAAAUGAAUUUCGCCUCGGGAGGGGCUCAUGUGGUAUUAGCUAGUUGGUAGGGUAAUGGCCUACCAAGGCAAAGAUGCCUAGCUGGUGUGAGAGCACGACCAGCGCCACUGGCACUGAGACACUGGCCAGACACCUACGGGUGGCUGCAGUCGAGAAUCUUCGGCAAUGGGCGCAAGCCUGACCGAGCGACGCCGCGUGUGCGAUGAAGGCCUUCGGGUUGUAAAGCACUGUCAGGGGGGAUAAAUCAAUGAUAGAUCCCCAGAGGAAGCACGGGCUAAGUUCGUGCCAGCAGCCGCGGUAAGACGAACCGUGCUAACGUUGUUCGGAAUCACUGGGCUUAAAGGGCGCGUAGGCGGUUUGCAAAGUCAAGGGUGAAAUCUUUCGGCUCAACCGGAAAAGGGCCUUUGAUACUGGCAAACUAGAGCGAGGUAGGGGCAGAUGGAACUUCCGGUGGAGCGGUGAAAUGUGUUGAUAUCGGAAGGAACGCCGGUGGCGAAAGCGAUCUGCUGGACCUCUUCUGACGCUGAGGCGCGAAAGCCAGGGGAGCAAACGGGAUUAGAUACCCCGGUAGUCCUGGCCCUAAACGAUGGGUACUGAGUAGUGGACUUGCACGGGUUCACUGCUGAAGCAAAAGUGGUAAGUACCCCGCCUGGGGAGUAUGGUCGCAAGGCUGAAACUCGAAGGAAUUGACGGGGGCUCACACAAGCGGUGGAGCAUGUGGCUUAAUUCGAGGCUACGCGAAGAACCUUAUCCUGGGCUUGACA